UACGUAGGUGGCAAGCGUUUGUCCGGAUUUACUGGGCGUAAAGAGCGCGCAGGCGGUUGUUUAAGUCGAAUGUGAAAGCCCCCGGCUCAACUGGGGAGGGUCAUUCGAUACUGAUCGACUUGAAGGCAGGAGAGGGAAGUGGAAUUCCGGGUGUAGUGGUGAAAUGCGUAGAUAUCCGGAGGAACACCAGUGGCGAAGGCGACUUCCUGGCCUGUUCUUGACGCUGAGGCGCGAAAGCUGGGGGAGCAAACGGGG
rnacentral:rRNA from 1 species